rnacentral:rRNA from 1 species
UACGAGGGGGGCGAGCGUUGUUCGGAAUUAUUGGGCGUAAAGGGUGCGUAGGCGGUUUGGUAAGUCUCGUGUGAAAUCUCCGGGCUCAACUCGGAGCCUGCACGAGAAACUGCCGGGCUUGAGUGGUGGGAGAGGUGAGUGGAAUUCCUGGUGUAGCGGUGAAAUGCGUAGAUAUCAGGAGGAACACCUGUGGCGAAAGCGGCUCACUGGACCAUAACUGACGCUGAUGCACGAAAGCUAGGGGAGCAAACAGG